UGGCUCAGACGGUAAAGCGUCUGCCUACAAUGCAGGAGACCCGGGUUUGAUUCCUGG
rnacentral:tRNA from 1 species